UGUUUACAAACUUGACGCACGCACCCAGCCCUAUCCUAUCCGUAAGGUUCUGGAAUUUGAGGGUCACAAUUUUGGGAUCUGGAGUGCUCGGAUGCCCAGCCUGGCUAUAACCUUUUAAAGAACGUCUUCAGGCUUCCUUCGCUCCCCACCCAACACCUCCAUGGAGAGGUGGAGCUGGAUGCGACAUCCCGACGGGGAACUAUGGACCCGUGGGCAGAAGCGUGCAGAAGAGGCAGCCGAGUGUCUCGGGGAGAGCCGGACCCUGAAAGUUUCUGCGUCACAGGCGCGAAACAGAAACGCACACCGCUUGGGCAACUCCAGGACCAUUCUAGCUCCGGCCCAGGGCCUUACAGUGGCGUGGGGAGAGACGGUGGACGCCAAGUAGAACCUACUGGAGGGCAAGUGGGGGGCUGCGGGAGCUUCAGCAGAGGGUCAGGGGACCGGUUUGGAUCUCCAGCUAAGUGCGUAAUUUGAAGAGCAGCGAGGUGAGCGCUCCGCCCUCUCGCUCUCAUUCUCUGGGGAAUCGCGCACUCCAGCCUCCCUCUUCCGAUUCCUUGGAAGCCCCGCGAGUGGUAGAAACCCCAGAAGAACCUAAAUGUCGUCUGGGAAGCCUCUUUAGGUUUUCCACUACGCCUGUUUCUUGGGGCCACCCUGCCAGCAGGGUGCACAGCCGCCCUGUGCCUCACCCCCGCCCUCCUCCAAGUUUCCAUCCUAAUUAAAGCGUCCGGGGCAGGCUCCGCCCUCUUCCCCGCCCCCGAGCCCUGGGCCCACCCUUCCGCUCCAGGGACAGGUCCUGUUCCCUGUCAAUCCUGCUGAGCCUCAGGGUUCCUGGCGCUUGAAAAAAGGCCCUGAGAGAACGCAAGACUCUAGAUUACUCACCGCCCGCCACGACACACAGAAGGAACUCCCCGUACCGAGGCUGGGGAUCCUCAGCCCACACCCAUAACUCAGGACGCGCCAAUAAAGAGUCGGGUCCUCCCUGCGCUCAGCUGCUCCUCUCCUGGGCAGCCGAGUUUGCUGCAAGGAAGGGCAACCCUAGCAGUUUGGAAACCGACUUCCAAGCCACCUCCUGGCAUUGGGUACUGUGCAGCUGAGCCAAGUUAUGACCCUAGAGCGCUCACCCGCUGGGGGCGGAUGCGUGUGCUCCUUCUCCAGUGUAAAUUCAUGCACUGGGCUAGUCACCAGAACUACAAGAUGCAAAACGAAUUUCUAGUACAUAUUUAAUGCCAGGGCAAGGACUCGGUGCAGUGAGGGUCUCAGGCUAGAGCAAUGAAGACUUCCAGAAACGCGGGAGGAGGUACAGAGGAUCGGAGGGGAGGCGACGCGCACCCACUUACCAUUCCUGAGCAGAGGCUGAUGACCGCCGUGUGCUCGGACUUGGUAUUGACAUAGCCUUUGUAGAAACAGUGCUUGAGUUCCGUUUCUUCCUCGGAAUAAAACUUUGUCUGGUUCGCCCCGGGCGCCCCAAGGAGGGUGACAGUGAACAGUGGAGCUAUAAAUCCGGCAUGGGCGGAGAGAUUAAAUAGAAAUUGCUGGCCAAAGGCGGAGAGGCGGUAAUGCGCCUGGGAGGAGGUAGAGGAGGCGAAGGCAGGCCAGGGGUCAGAGGCAGAAUUAAUGCUCCGUCGCCUUCUUUUGAAAUGCACGUUUGUGGAAAUGGGUUCUCCGAGAGCAUUCACUCUGACGGGAGACGCGAUUUCAUAUUCGUUCAGGGUCUCUAAUAAUUUCACUGCGGAGAGAAAGAAGAGGCACAUGAACCAAUAAAUCAGUGUUCCACGAGUUUAAUUUAAAAUGAAUGUGAGGGCAUUGUCCUGUUAUUUUUCAGCAUGUGUGUGUGUGUGCCCAUUCGAGUCAAUCCCUUUGCCCUUCCUCAGUCAGUGACAAAUAUUUGUGGAGCACCUACUGUGUGCCAGAAACAGCCAGAAGCUGUGUUAGGCGCUGAGGAUACACGCCAUUCGAAGCCAAUGAACAAGUCAAAAUACAUGAGAUAAUUUCAGAUCCUGACAAAUACUCUUCAUUAGACAUGACAUUAUCUGGUGUCCCCGGUUACUAAAUAACUAUAGUUUGGGGCAUGGGGGGGAAUGGGGAAGGGAAAGAACCGGUUAAAAGUAAAGGGUGUUUGUCGAAGGGGCUCAGUUUGUUCCAGUGUGUCUCCCUAGAAACUGGCUGGGAAUGACCUAAAAAAGGGAGAGGCUACAAAGCUGGAGAUAAUUCUUUCUAGGAAAAGGAGAGAAACCUCAGUUGUGGGGUGCCCGUUGUCGGCCGUGUUGGCUAGGGAGGUGGCUGAGGGGCAGAGGGGUCCCGGUGGCCCGAG